rnacentral:rRNA from 1 species
UUGGAGGGCAAGUCUGGUGCCAGCAGCCGCGGUAAUUCCAGCUCCAAUAGCGUAUAUUAAAGUUGUUGCAGUUAAAAAGCUCGUAGUUGAAUUUCGGGAUCAGAUUGUCGGUCGUGCCUCGGUACGCACUGGUAUUAUUGGUUCCUACCUUCUGAAGAACCGCGAUGUCAUUAAUUUGGUGUCGUGGGGAAUCAGGACUGUUACUUUGAAAAAAUUAGAGUGUUUAAAGCAGGCUUACGCUUGAAUACAUUAGCAUGGAAUAAUGAAAUAGGACGGUUGAUUCUAUUUUGUUGGUUUCUAGGAUUGACGUAAUGAUUAAUAGGGAUAGUUGGGGGCAUUAGUAUUCAAUUGUCAGAGGUGAAAUUCUUGGAUUUAUUGAAGACUAACUACUGCGAAAGCAUUUGCCAAGGAUGUUUUCAUUAAUCAAGAACGAAAGUUAGGGGAUCGAAGACGAUCAGAUACCGUCGUAGUCUUAACCAUAAACUAUGCCGACUAGGGAUCGGAUGAUGUUAAUUUUUUAAUGACUCAUUCGGCGCCUUACGGGAAACCAAAGUGUUUGGGUUC